rnacentral:rRNA from 1 species
GGUUAAGCGACUAAGCGUACACGGUGGAUGCCCUGGCAGUCAGAGGCGAUGAAGGACGUGCUAAUCUGCGAAAAGCGCCGGCGAGGUGAUAUGAACCUUUGACCCGGCGAUGUCCGAAUGGGGAAACCCAGUGCAAUUCGUUGCACUAUCGUUAACUGAAUACAUAGGUUAACGAGGCGAACCGGGGGAACUGAAACAUCUAAGUACCCCGAGGAAAAGAAAUCAACCGAGAUUCCCCCAGUAGCGGCGAGCGAACGGGGAGCAGCCCAGAGUCUGAAUCAGCUUGUGUGUUAGUGGAAGCGUCUGGAAAGUCGCACGGUACAGGGUGACAGUCCCGUACACGAAAGCACACAGGCUGUGAACUCGAAGAGUAGGGCGGGACACGUGGUAUCCUGUCUGAAUAUGGGGGGACCAUCCUCCAAGGCUAAAUACUCCUGACUGACCGAUAGUGAACCAGUACCGUGAGGGAAAGGCGAAAAGAACCCCGGCGAGGGGAGUGAAAAAGAACCUGAAACCGUGUACGUACAAGCAGUGGGAGCACCUUCGUGGUGUGACUGCGUACCUUUUGUAUAAUGGGUCAGCGACUUAUAUUCUGUAGCAAGGUUAACCGUAUAGGGGAGCCGAAGGGAAACCGAGUCUUAACUGGGCGUUAAGUUGCAGGGUAUAGACCCGAAACCCGGUGAUCUAGCCAUGGGCAGGUUGAAGGUUGGGUAACACUAACUGGAGGACCGAACCGACUAAUGUUGAAAAAUUAGCGGAUGACUUGUGGCUGGGGGUGAAAGGCCAAUCAAACCGGGAGAUAGCUGGUUCUCCCCGAAAGCUAUUUAGGUAGCGCCUCGUGAACUCAUCUUCGGGGGUAGAGCACUGUUUCGGCUAGGGGGCCAUCCCGGCUUACCAACCCGAUGCAAACUACGAAUACCGAAGAAUGUUAUCACGGGAGACACACGGCGGGUGCUAACGUCCGUCGUGAAGAGGGAAACAACCCAGACCGCCAGCUAAGGUCCCAAAGUCAUGGUUAAGUGGGAAACGAUGUGGGAAGGCACAGACAGCCAGGAUGUUGGCUUAGAAGCAGCCAUCAUUUAAAGAAAGCGUAAUAGCUCACUGGUCGAGUCGGCCUGCGCGGAAGAUGUAACGGGGCUAAACCAUGCACCGAAGCUGCGGCAGCGACGCGUAUGCGUUGUUGGGUAGGGGAGCGUUCUGUAAGCCGUUGAAGGUGUCCUGUGAGGGGUGCUGGAGGUAUCAGAAGUGCGAAUGCUGACAUAAGUAACGAUAAAGCGGGUGAAAAGCCCGCUCGCCGGAAGACCAAGGGUUCCUGUCCAACGUUAAUCGGGGCAGGGUGAGUCGACCCCUAAGGCGAGGCCGAAAGGCGUAGUCGAUGGGAAACAGGUUAAUAUUCCUGUACUUGGUGUUACUGCGAAGGGGGGACGGAGAAGGCUAUGUUAGCCGGGCGACGGUUGUCCCGGUUUAAGCAUGUAGGCGGAGGUUCCAGGUAAAUCCGGUACCUUUUAACGCUGAGGUGUGAUGACGAGGCACUACGGUGCUGAAGUAACAAAUGCCCUGCUUCCAGGAAAAGCCUCUAAGCAUCAGGUAACAUCAAAUCGUACCCCAAACCGACACAGGUGGUCAGGUAGAGAAUACCAAGGCGCUUGAGAGAACUCGGGUGAAGGAACUAGGCAAAAUGGUGCCGUAACUUCGGGAGAAGGCACGCUGAUAUGUAGGUGAAGCCCCUGCGGGUGGAGCUGAAAUCAGUCGAAGAUACCAGCUGGCUGCAACUGUUUAUUAAAAACACAGCACUGUGCAAACACGAAAGUGGACGUAUACGGUGUGACGCCUGCCCGGUGCCGGAAGGUUAAUUGAUGGGGUUAGCGGCAACGCGAAGCUCUUGAUCGAAGCCCCGGUAAACGGCGGCCGUAACUAUAACGGUCCUAAGGUAGCGAAAUUCCUUGUCGGGUAAGUUCCGACCUGCACGAAUGGCGUAAUGAUGGCCAGGCUGUCUCCACCCGAGACUCAGUGAAAUUGAACUCGCUGUGAAGAUGCAGUGUACCCGCGGCAAGACGGAAAGACCCCGUGAACCUUUACUAUAGCUUGACACUGAACACUGGUCCUUGAUGUGUAGGAUAGGUGGGAGGCUUUGAAGCGUGGACGCCAGUCUGCGUGGAGCCRUCCUUGAAAUACCACCCUUUAAUGGCUGGUGUUCUAACGUAGACCCGUAAUCCGGGUUGCGGACAGUGUCUGGUGGGUAGUUUGACUGGGGCGGUCUCCUCCCAAAGAGUAACGGAGGAGCACGAAGGUUAGCUAAUCCUGGUCGGACAUCAGGAGGUUAGUGCAAUGGCAUAAGCUAGCUUGACUGCGAGAGUGACGGCUCGAGCAGGUGCGAAAGCAGGUCAUAGUGAUCCGGUGGUUCUGAAUGGAAGGGCCAUCGCUCAACGGAUAAAAGGUACUCCGGGGAUAACAGGCUGAUACCGCCCAAGAGUUCAUAUCGACGGCGGUGUUUGGCACCUCGAUGUCGGCUCAUCACAUCCUGGGGCUGAAGUAGGUCCCAAGGGUAUGGCUGUUCGCCAUUUAAAGUGGUACGCGAGCUGGGUUUAGAACGUCGUGAGACAGUUCGGUCCCUAUCUGCCGUGGGCGCUGGAGAAUUGAGGGGGGCUGCUCCUAGUACGAGAGGACCGGAGUGGACGCAUCACUGGUGUUCGGGUUGUCAUGCCAAUGGCACUGCCCGGUAGCUAAAUGCGGAAAAGAUAAGUGCUGAAAGCAUCUAAGCACGAAACUUGCCCCGAGAUGAGUUCUCCCUGACCCUUUAAGRGUCCUGAAGGAACGUUGAAGACGACGACGUUGAUAGGUCGGGUGUGUAAGCGCAGCGAUGCGUUGAGCUAACCGAUACUAAUGAACCGUGAGGCUUAACCUU